GCCAGUUUAGCUUAGUGGUAAAGCACUAGACGCGUAAUCACAAGCAUGUGAGUUCGAGUCCUAUGGCUGGCC
rnacentral:tRNA from 1 species